CACUGCAAUCUUCGGAGAAUAGCUGUGAGAUAAAGUUUGGACGAUGCCCUCGGUGAAUCAGCACGCCGGCCUCCUACGGGCUAUUUAACUUUUUAUCAUCCUUACUAGAGGCAAGUAUUCAAAAAUCAUCGUCAACGACGCUUACAAAUUUACCAUCCUUAUAAAACGCAGCCGAAUUCUUUGCCCAUAUUGCUGACUUGGAGUGCCAGGCGAGCAUCCCAC
rnacentral:lncRNA from 1 species